UAUUAACUAGAUGGUGGGGUAACGGCUCACCAGGGCAAUGAUACGUACCCGACCUGAAAGGGAACUCGGCCACAUUGGGACUGACACCCGGCCCAAACUCCAAGGGGAGGCACCAGUAGGGAAUCUUCCACAAGGGACAAAAGUCUGAUGGAGCAACCCCGCGUGAGUGAAAAAGGGUUUCGGCUCGUAAAACUCUGUUGUUAAAAAAAAACAUAUCUGAAAUUACCUGUUCAGGUAUUGACGGUAUUUAACCAAA
rnacentral:rRNA from 1 species